GAUGAAGAACGUAGCGAAAUGCGAUACGUAAUGUGAAUUGCAGAAUUCAGUGAAUCAUCGAGUCUUUGAACGCACAUUGCGCCCAUUAGUAUUCUAGUGGGCAUGCCUGUUCGAGCGUCAUUUCAACCCUUAAGCCUCUGUUGCUUAGCGUUGGGAGCCUACCUACCCGGUAGAUCCUCAAAGUUAGCUGGCAGGGUCGAGGUUCGCCCUAAGCGUAGUAGUUCUUUCUCGCUUCUGCGGCUGCCUAGGCCAUCGCCACAAGCCUUUUAAACUUCAAUGGUUGACCUCGGAUCAGGUAGGAAUACCCGCUGAACUUAAGCAUAUCAAUAAGCGGAGGA
rnacentral:misc_RNA from 1 species